rnacentral:lncRNA from 1 species
CUCAAAUUCGUUGAACUCAGAACACGUACCUGUCUCUGGAGCUGUGGACUUAAAUGAACAGACAAGCUGAUGAUCACAUCUGCGCAUCCCUGGAUUUUAAUUACGCGAUGUGUGCCUUUGCCCAGAAACUGGCGAGGGAAAAACAUCUGGUUAAAGCCUUCCAUUGUCAGACGGUGUCUCGCCAAUUAGAGGAAGAGGAGCCUUGGAGAGCUACCCUGCUAUGUCUUCCCUACAUUUCAGUCUGGAUAAUAGCUUGGGUUUGCCAGCAAGCGGUUAGUUGCCACUCAGUGAAUCCUCGCGAUGUGAGAGGAGUGAUGAUGCAGACGGCACCAAACAAGCGAGGACCGGCUCCUCCACAGAACACCAAGACUGCCAUCCCAUGGUGGAAGAAGGAACUCGCCGCCCCUCUGAGACGCUCCAUCCAGACAAGCAGGAUGUGGCACAGUCGCUAAAAUAGGAGUUAUUCUCCGUCCGUUGCAUUCAUCUUACAG